ACGAGAGUUAAGCUCGUAUGCCUGGUUUAGGGUUCCAGGCUAGCCCUAUCUAUCGGUCGAGAUGCGAGCGCUUAAGCUCAAAUUGAGUGGCUGAGUUAGUGGUGAACGUAUCCCUAUGUU
rnacentral:ncRNA from 1 species